GUGCUUUGUUGGAAUGGGAUCCUGGAAGUGGACUUGAAAUGUUGAGAUCCACCAGGUCAGCCCCUUCAGAAACUUCAAGCCUAAUUUUACCAUUGCCUAUGAUCCUGGAAACCACAUAUAAAAUGAUUGUAAUCUACUGCAGAAAAGCUGAAAGAUACAAUGUCAGACUAAGGAAUAUCAGAUUAGAACACCAAGAAGCAUUAAUCUGCAAUGAAGAUGAUGGCUACAGAGAAAUGCCCCCAAGGAAGAAGAAGAAACAUCUCUUAUUUAACUGCUCAUGAAAGAAGUACAGAGAAGGCUGGUGCCUUGUAGUCCCCUG
rnacentral:lncRNA from 1 species